GAUGAGCGCUGGCGGCGUGCCUAAUACAUGCAAGUCGAGCGAACGGACGAGAAGCUUGCUUCUCUGAUGUUAGCGGCGGACGGGUGAGUAACACGUGGAUAACCUACCUAUAAGACUGGGAUAACUUCGGGAAACCGGAGCUAAUACCGGAUAAUAUUUUGAACCGCAUGGUUCAAAAGUGAAAGACGGUCUUGCUGUCACUUAUAGAUGGAUCCGCGCUGCAUUAGCUAGUUGGUAAGGUAACGGCUUACCAAGGCAACGAUGCAUAGCCGACCUGAGAGGGUGAUCGGCCACACUGGAACUGAGACACGGUCCAGACUCCUACGGGAGGCAGCAGUAGGGAAUCUUCCGCAAUGGGCGAAAGCCUGACGGAGCAACGCCGCGUGAGUGAUGAAGGUCUUCGGAUCGUAAAACUCUGUUAUUAGGGAAGAACAUAUGUGUAAGUAACUGUGCACAUCCUGACGGUACCUAAUCAGAAAGCCACGGCUAACUACGUG
rnacentral:rRNA from 1 species